rnacentral:lncRNA from 1 species
AUGUAUAUAUAUAUAAACAGUAUCAGUAUAUAUAUAUACUAUAUAUAUAUUUAUAGAUAUAUAUUUAGUUAUUUACUCUAUCUAUAAAAUCCAUCCCUUGAGAAGUAUAGAUACCAAACAAUGUAGUUAGAAAUUGGACUUUGUCUUAUUUACAAUAUGUCACCUCCGAGGUUCAAAGUCUUUAAAACCGAUAGUUAAAGAGGCCUUGAUGGUAAAACCGUUGCGUGUUGACGUCACUAAAACAUUUCCAGGAGGAGUGAACCAUGACCGCUUUUCACUUCUCUGUAGUUUUGUACUAGCAGAAUCUAGGUUAAUGACAAGUCCAGGGGAGAAUGUUCUAAAGAGACUUUCGUGUCGUUGACUUCCUCGUUCGGGACACCUGGCCCCUUUCACAUCAAAAAAUUUCUACAUCAAUCCCCAAGGUCUAACGCCAAACGGGUUAGUCGUUUUAACCUCGUAACUCCGAAAUUGUUUGGCCGCUCCGUUAUGUUCUUUUAUCCUUGGGGUUAUUGACCCGCUCCUGAUUUGAUUAAAAUUUAUGAAAGAUACAGCCCGACCUUAAUCGCUUUUGGUUUUGUUUGUUUGGCCAAUUUAUCGAUUGUCGUCGUGGAUAAAAAAAAAAAGAAAAGAAAGAAAAAAAAAGAAAAAAGCGGAAUGCGCCUCGCGUUCUUACGCACCUUAAUGAUAGAGUCCUCAUCCUCUCCGAAUGAUGUUUAGUAACGGAGAAAGAAGGAGCAUCGCCUGUUUGUUGAUAAUUUCUAUUAUAAAUAAGGAAAUUGCCACAUUUAACUGGAAUAAUUCAUAAAAAUCUCGCGUGAUUACGUUACGGGAAAUAACCUGACCUUCGAGUUAUAUAUAAGGGAAGAAAUCUUAUGCUCGUUGUGCUUGACUUCCGCGCUCUUUCGAGAGGAAGUUCCUUUCCAGCACGCAAAGGCGUACGAGCUUUCCCUAUGGGAGGGAGAUGCAGCCAGGUCGUUGAACUCAUCGAACUGUCUCUGACUGUUUCCUAACGGUCUCCUUAUCCUCUGUGUCAUCAUUGAACAAUUCUUGUUUGUCUCUAUAUCCUCUGGACACUUUAAAGAGCGGGGGAUGACAUUCUGGGCACACGACCAACACAAAUACCUAUCCGUCAUAAGAUGGACGUUAUUUGAUUACUUGGAAUAAAUUCAAUCGCUGUUUUGUUAAUUAUAAACAAGAACUCUUCUGUAAUCUUUGAAAAAUACACAUGUAUUUUUCAUUACAGUUUAUUAACGAGAUCCGAGAAUAUAAGGAUUUGCUUUCGUUUUUUCCUGCAAAGUCGCGCUCGUUUAUUCAUCUUGUUUGAGUAAACAGUUUUGCCUCCAGUCACACAAAUCGAUGAUUAUGUCUUUUUUUUUUUUUUUAAGUAAGCAACGGGGCCUUUUGCAAGUAGCAUCCGGUCUGUUAAUAUAUAUAUCGACCCUGCAAAGUAAGCUGCCAAGCACUGAUGUUGCGCACCGGCAGCCAUGUUGUCCUGAUAUCUUUCCACUUUUCGUUGUCAUGGCGAUGCCGAUGGAAAGAGUUCGAUCGAAAUGUCUGAAGGAAAGAAAAUGCAAAUAAAAAAAAGAAAAAAAAAAAAAAAUGCAGAAAUAUUCCGAAUCGUAUCACCGGAUU